CGCGGGCGGGGCCGGGGACCCGGGCCCGAGCAGCCGCCGGUCCGCCGGCCCGCGCGCCCGUCCGCCCGCCGGGAUGGAGGCGGCCGAGGAGCCCGAGCCCCUGGACCGGCUGCGCGCCGUCUUCGCCGCCUGCGACGCGGGCCGCGCCGGGCGCCUGGGGCGCGCCGAGUUCGGCGCGCUGUGCGCGGAGCUGCGCGUUCCGCCGGCCGACGCGGAGGCGCUGUUCCGGCAGCUGGACGCCGACGGGGACGACGCCGUCACUUUCCAGGAGUUCGCGCGCGGCUUCCUCGGGGCCCACGGUGGGGCGCCCGAGCCACUGGAGGGCGACGAGGGCCCGUGCGCGCGCGGGCGCCCCGGGAGCCCGGGCCUGGCCUGGCGGGACUUCGAGGCGCGGCUCGGCGAGGAGGCCGGGCUGCUCCCCAGAAAAGAGCAAGUUAGUACCCUGUAUCAGAACAUCAACCUUGUGGAGCCAAGACUAAUCCAGCCCUACGAACAUGUGAUAAGGAACUUUCUCCGGGAGAUCAAACUUCAAAGCAAAGAGAUGGAACACCUGGCCAUGGCAGUGAAGAGAGCUCAGAACCAGACAGCCAUGCAGCUGAGCGAGUUGGAAGAGGAGAUGGAUCAGAGGAUUCAGGCUGCAGAACACAAGACCCGGAAAGAAGAAAAACGUAAAGCUGAAGAAGCCCUCUGUAACCUCAGACAUCAGUAUGAAACAGAAGUGGGAGAUCUACAAGUGACAAUUAAAAAACUCAGAAUGCUUGAAGAACAAUCAAAGCACAUAAGUAAAAAAGAAGAUGUAGCAGCAUUAAAAAAACAAAUUUAUGAUUUAUCAUUGGAAAAUCAGAAAGUUAAGAAAGAGCUGCUGGAGGCACAGACAACCAUAGCCUUUCUUCAGAGCGAACUCGAUGCUCUAAAAAGUGACUAUGCUGACCAGAGUCUGAAUUCUGAAAGGGAUCUGGAAAUAAUCCAAGAAUACACGGAAGUUCAGAACAGUCUCGAGAGGCAAAUUGAGAUACUCCAAUCAGCUAACCGAAAGCUGCACGACAGCAACGACGGGCUGAGGAGCGCCCUGGAGAACAGCUACAGCAAGCUCAGCAGGUCCUUGCGCAUAAAUAACAUAUCACCAGGGAACACAAUUUCUAGAAGCAGUCCAAAAUUGAGUGGUCAUUCUCGUCAGCCUCUGGGUUGUGACAGGUCAUCUCGCUCUUCCUAUGUGGAUGAGGACUGUGAAUCCCUGGCCCUCUGUGAUCCCAUGCAGAGGAUGAACUAUGAGGUCGACAGCUUGCCCGAGAGCUGCUUUGACAGUGGCUUGUCCACCCUGAGAGAUUCCAAUGAUUAUGACUCAGAAAUGGAGUUUAAGCCCCAGAGGGAGUUUCAGAGCUCGAGUGGAGUGCAGGAGAAUUCUGGCGGUGAUGCUUCUGACACAGAUGUUCCCGAUAUAAAGGAUGAAGAAACAUAUGGUAACGGAAGCACGGCUUCCAUGGUAGCAUGGACACCCCCCAGGUGUGUCAGCAAAGGCAGUGCUGUCACUUCCUCCAGGAGGCCCAUCUCAGCUCUCUCAUCUCAGGAAGACAAGGAGGGCGAGAAUCUCAAAGCUCCUAGGGCACAGAAGGUGUACAAGAUUGUACUUGCUGGGGACGCUGCUGUGGGGAAGUCCAGCUUCCUCAUGAGACUUUGCAAGAAUGAAUUCCGAGGAGAUACAAGUGCCACUCUGGGCGUUGAUUUCCAGAUGAAAACUCUCAUUGUAGAUGGAGAGCAAACUGUUCUGCAGCUUUGGGAUACCGCAGGGCAGGAGAGAUUCAGAAGUAUCGCCAAGUCUUACUUCAGAAAAGCAGGCGGUGUUCUGCUGCUGUACGAUGUCACCUGCGAGAGAAGCUUUCUUAACGUGCGAGAAUGGAUAGACAUGAUUGAGGAUGCAUCUCCUGAGAGUGUUCCUAUCAUGCUGGUUGGAAACAAGUCUGAUAUGCGUGACACUGCUACUUUAGAGGGACGGAAAUGUGUGCCAGGGCAUUUUGGAGAAAAACUGGCCAUGACCUACGGGGCGUUAUUCUGUGAAACGAGUGCCAAAGAUGGCUCCAAUGUUGUGGAAGCUGUCCUCCAUCUCGCCCGCAGUUAUUCCGAGUGAGACACAGGCAUGAAUUUUCAUUUAACUAAUGCAUACAUCAAGCAUCUUGACCAUAACAUGGAGCCAGAGCAGACACUGGAACAUGUGCGCUCUUUCCAUCACGGAAACAGAUGCGCAUGGGUAUUAGAGAAACUGAUACGGCCGCCUGUUCACCAUGAACACUUGCCAAUGAUCCUUACGGUAACAAAACAGGUGGCUCUGAGGUGCUGUCGUUUCUGUAACACGCUGCCAUGACUGUAUGGGUGGGUGGUCACCAGGAACCAGGUUUGUAAACUUCAGGAAUUAUGACAAUUAAACUACCUAUCAUGACAUUUUCCUGGGUAAAGGGAGAAAAAAACAGCAAAGCAAAUUGUGUAUCAUGCCAGUUGGAAUCACUCCAUCAAAAUUAUUUCUAGGUAAUUAUUAAGCUAAGGCAGUGAUGUUAAUCAUAGCAUUUUGGGAGUACAGAUUAGAAUGAAAAUUGUAUCGUUCAAGGACUUAGAAGUAAAUGCUCUUGCUUUAAUCCUUGGGCUGCUUUUAGGACAUGAUGUCACCUGUCAGACUAUGCUUGGUUUUUCUGCCAUAAAUGAAAAAAAUGAUGCUUUACUGGACUAAAAGGAUAGUAUAGCAUCACUCACAGGAAAACAAAGCAUUCAUAAAAUUCAGGACAAUACCUAGUUAAAGAAAAAGUGAACACAUGAUUUUAGGCAUGAUUCUGUUUCUGACUGAGAUUCUGCGAGAAUCAUUGUGAUCGUUGACCUUUCCUGCUGGUGGACAUUGAGAGUUGAACUGCUCGGCAGUGUUUGCAAUGUGCUCUUCAGUUCAUGACUUGGUGUCACAGGAGCAGGUGGACUGGACUCUGUUAGAAAGGCUUCUGUUAGGGCCCGGGGUGGGUGUCUUCUCUCCAGGAGCCAGGGAGGGAACAGGUCCUGAGGCUUCAGGUGUCCUGCCUGACUGGGGCCUGCGGUAGGGAUUGGUGGGUGCUUAGGGCUCACCCUCGGCACCUGUAUUUUCACCUUGAAGAUACAUGGGCACUUCGCUUUCCAGUGCUGAAAGUGUUCUUUGUCUUGACUUCGAGUGUAACCUACAAUAGGUAGAAAAACAAAGACAAAUAGUUAAACCUGUAUAGAUUCACCUGAAUUUUUACUACACUUUUAUUUUGUUGUUUUGUUUUUUGGCCUGUGAUUAGUAGUAGACUCAUGGAAUUUUGUCACAUUUGUCAAAAAGCAUCUGAGUGUGUGAUCCGGCCUGCAGAUCAACAAGUUCGGAACUCCUGGAGGAGAAACGGGGAUUAAAUAAAAGACAUAGGGGAGACAAAAAGAGACGAAGGCAAGUUGAUGUUAACCCAAUCAAGCCUCCGGUUUAUUGAGAAAAUAAUCACACCUUUUAUAGGCUAAGGGCGGGAGCUGGGACAGGAAGAGGUUAAACAGAUGAAUACAACAGGGUUACCAUCACAUCCGGAUAAGUGACGUAAGCAGAAGAGGAUUAUGGUUAAUGUAGGCAGGCGCAGUGCCCAUAGGAGAGAGAGAGAGAGACAUCUAGGCAGCAAUGCCUGUCACUCGGCUCCCUACAAGUGUGGUGGUACACACCUAUGAUCCCAACUCUGGGAGACUGAGGCAGGAGGAUCACAAGCUCCAGUCCAGCCUGAGCAACUUGGUGAAAAAAGUUACUGUACAACAAAACAGAAUGAAAUGGCUAAGGUUGUAGCCUAGUGUGAUAGCCUUGGGUUCAGCUCUCAAUACUGCAGGAAGUCAAGAAAAGAACGGAGGAGGCUGACAGCAAGUCCAUCGCCAGCCUGGCUGGCACCAGCUCCAGGAAGUCAGCGCCAAUGAAGAGCUGCUGCAACGCCUAAGUGCCCGAGCUCCUGGGCAGUGAAGUCUUCCACAGUACUGCACUGGUGACUGGUUCGGUCCUCGGCAGAGUGGCGCAUUCUGCUGACACUGUCCCGUGGGGAGUUUGGAGCAGAAAGUCAAAACUGUGGUCUCAGGUCUCUAGUGUCGGUGUCCAUGAGAGCUCUCCAAGUUCCCAGGGGGACAAGUGACUUAAAGAUGAAGAAAAUAAAAGAUAGAGACAGAAAGCUGCUGUCUGUGGAGCCCUCCGGGUGGGAGGAGGAGACUGCUCAACUACUCAGUGCGUUUAUUUAUACGCUUGUCACACCCCUUUGCUUUCCCAGUCACUUUUUUCCCUGUGUUCUCCUGUGUCCUCAGGAUGGAGCACCUGCUCCCCUCUAGCACCCUGUGCCCUUGGGACAUUUCCCAGGUGCUCUGUGCCCUCGGGGUACUCCUGCUCAGGGGCUUGAGCUCCGAGCUCCACACGCUGGAUGGUGACCAGCUUAGCAGUUCCCAGCACUCUGGAACCUCAGUUCUUCUCUACCGUGAUCUCUGUGAGUGCUUUGGGCACCCAGGCCUCACAGAGCCUCAGGAGACACCAUGUCAAUGUUCCAACAUCCCAGAAAAAAAAAGCACACUCCUGUCAGAACUGUAGCCAAAACUCAUCAAAAAAUGGGAAGCAGGAGAUGGCUGCCUUUGGCGUCAAGUGUCCCUGGAUUGGUUGGCCCUCAUCAGAGAGGAUUCUCGUGCUAACCUGACUAGUAGUGAGUUGGUGGUCACCAGCCUCUGUGGGACAGGCAGAGUGGCCUCGGCCGGUCCGUGCCCCAGCACUUCCAUCAUCAGCUAGUGCCCCAUGAUGGCUUGGCGAAGCGCUCUGUUACUCCUGCUUCUUGUUUUGUUAAAUAACGCAGUAUUGAUUUUUCUCACUUCUGAUAUGAGAACAGAAUUUAAUUGAAGGAAAGAUGAUAGUGUUAGGCUCCAGUGGCAACAGAAAAGUCUAUUUUUAAUGUGUUAAAAAUCAAGCUUGAAAAAAAGUUAUAUAUAAAAAGGAGUACUUUCUAACCUCAGAAUUGUUACAAAGUCCACAUUCAAUGAGAAAUUCUGUUGAAAACACAGCCAUGUACUGCCAGAUGCUGUGCCCAGAGCAACACUGCUUUCACUGCCGAGGAUACAGCUGCCGGGACCAGGAGAGGCUGAGGACAGGGGCUGAGAUGACCGUGGGUGGCCUGUGGCUCCGGAGGACCUUGAGAACACUGCAGAGUAACAGCGCUCAUGGUUGACUAAAGUCCACUGAGUCGCCCUGACCUCCCCAUCAAGAUGUGUACCCCAGCAUAACCAGCCAGCAGUGGCCACAGCUGGCCAGCAAAUGCCAGCGACCUUUUGGUGACCUGAGCCAGUCCAAGAUGUUCCCAUCCCAGAUUGUAGAUGACUUCAGGUCAUGCAGGCCCAGGCUUCCAUAGCUUGCUGAAAAACUUAAAUAAUAGCUAUUAUUUACUGGGUUAUACUAGUCAAAAACAUUUCUUUUUGUUGAAAAUUGGAGCAAGUUAGUGUAGCAGUCAUUUCGUGUUUGUUGUUUCCAUGAUCAAAGUUUAAAUUCCUCAAGCUUUAUUUUUUUAAAAUAGAAAAUGACAAGAUAAAGCGUCGUUUAGCUUUUCAAAGCAUGCUUUCUUGCUAUCAAAGACAUUUAGUAUUUUAAUUAGAAAGUUGAAUCUUCAGUAACGCUACUAGAAAGUCUAGUUUUGUAUUUUAUGUUUUUGUUUCUGAAAAAAAAGGUUGCAUUUCAGGUCAAAAACCACACCUCAUUUGUGGGAACUAAAUGCAGGGUAGGAGUGGUUCUUCUGGGAGGUAUGGUGUGGCCAAACCAAAGCUUCACGUUUGUUAUUUGCCUCAGUGAUGGGCCUUGAGAGUGAGUGUAUUAGUAUAUGUGUUAUUGUGUUACUUUUAUUUAUUUCUCCCCAGUGUCUCAUGGUAUUUGUCUCAGAAUCUAUAAAUAAUGCAGCAGUACCAGCUUCCUCCUCGCCUCUGCAUUGUACUGUCAGCACACCACACUGACCAGGAGAUCACCUGCGUGCCUUUGAUAGACAAACGCAUCAUUUUUAACCAAGUGGGGAUAAAUACUUCAGCAAAGUAAUCCAAAUUAGAGAUUUCUAUCUCUGGUUAGCAAUCCUGUGUAAAGAAAAGCUACUAAAUACUCCUUUAAUGUCAUGGUGGGAGAUCAUGGUUAUUUAUCCACAUUUUAUGAAGGUGUUAUCAAAUUUAGAAUGUAUUUUCAAUAAGAAAUAUUCAGUGUUUUUAACUUAGGCUUAAUUUGAUGUAUUUACUUGAUAUAUUUAUAUAUAUUUACAUGUUCCUAUAGAAGCAACUCACCUUGUUUCUAUUUUUCCUCUGAGAACUUUUAAAAUACAAGUAUGCUAUACUUCUUUUUUGCUAUCUUGAUACCCUGGGUAAUAUUUUAAUUUUAUUAUGGAGCCUAAUGUCAGAUAAGGAGGCAUUUUUCACUGUUAACUUUAAGCCCUGUGGGUUUUCAUAAUUUAUUUUUCCACUUGCUGCUUUAUACGAUACAUAUGACAUUUGAUUAUUUAAUACUAGAUAUUAUUUACAUAAAUCCAAGCCACAUAGCCUCCCUGCUGAAUGAAAAAUUGAGGUUAAAGAUGAAGAUUUAUUUUCAUAUUUAUACACUGAUUGGCUUCAUAGUGAUGAUUUUUAUGAGAUUUUGUUGCAUAUAAGAAAUUUCACAUGUAUAUAUUAAGUAGGCCUCUGAGAACUGAAUAAUUGUUUUAUGAUUUUGAUUUAUAUGGUUUAUACUUUUGUAGUUUGGGCCAUAUAUUGUUUAUACUGUUUAUUUCUCUUCAUGAGUAAUUGUAUCAUGGUGUAAUUUUUAUAGCAAUGCGAUUGUCUAAGGAACUACAAAUAUUCUGUGCCUUGUAAAUUCAAUAAAACAUGCUUCUUUUGGC